UACGGAGGGUGCGAGCGUUGUCCGGAAUCACUGGGCGUAAAGGGAGCGUAGGCGGGCUCUUAAGUUGGAUGUUUAAAACCGGGGCCCAACCCCGGCGUGGCAUUCAAAACUGGGAGUCUUGAAUGGAACAGAGGCUAGUGGAAUUGGAGGUGUAGCGGUGGAAUGCGUAGAGAUCUCCAAGAACACCCGUUGCGAAGGCGGCUAGCUGGGUUCACAUUGACGCUGAGGCUCGAAAGCGUGGGGAGCAAACAGG
rnacentral:rRNA from 1 species